GUAACGGCGAGUGAAGCGGCAACAGCUCAAAUUUGAAAUCUGGCCCCCGGGUCCGAGUUGUAAUUUGCAGAGGAUGCUUCGGGCGAGGUGCCUUCCGAGUUCCCUGGAACGGGACGCCACAGAGGGUGAGAGCCCCGUCUGGUCGGACACCGAGCCCGUGUGAAGCUCCUUCGAAGAGUCGAGUAGUUUGGGAAUGCUGCUCAAAAUGGGAGGUAUAUGUCUUCUAAAGCUAAAUAUUGGCCAGAGACCGAUAGCGCACAAGUAGAGUGAUCGAAAGAUGAAAAGCACUUUGAAAAGAGGGUUAAAAAGUACGUGAAAUUGUUGAAAGGGAAGCGCCCAUGACCAGACUUGGGCCCGGUGAAUCACCCGGCGUUCUCGCCGGUGCACUUUGCCGGGCACAGGCCAGCAUCAGUUUGGCGCGGGGGACAAAGGCUUCGGGAACGUGGCUCCCUCGGGAGUGUUAUAGCCCGCUGCGUAAUACCCUGCGCCGGACUGAGGUACGCGCAUCGCAAGGAUGCUGGCGUAAUGGUCAUCAGCGACCCGUCUUGAAACACGGACCAAGGAGUCGUCUUCGUAUGCGAGUGUUCGGGUGUCAAACCCCUACGCGGAAUGAAAGUGAACGCAGGUGAGAGCUUCGGCGCAUCAUCGACCGAUCCUGAUGUUCUCGGAUGGAUUUGAGUAAGAGCAUACGGGGCCGGACCCGAAAGAAGGUGAACUAUGCCUGUAUAGGGUGAAGCCAGAGGAAACUCUGGUGGAAGCUCGCAGCGGUUCUGACGUGCGAAUCGAUCGUCAAAUA
rnacentral:rRNA from 1 species